GAUGAAGAACGUAGCGAAAUGCGAUAAGUAAUGUGAAUCGCAGAAUUCAGUGAAUCAUCGAAUCUUUGAACGCACAUUGCGCCCGCUAGUAUUCUGGCGGGCAUGCCUGUCCGAGCGUCAUUUCAACCCUCAAGCCCCCGGGCUUGGUGUUGGGGAUCGGCGAGCCUCCGCGCCCGCCGUCCCCUAAAUCUAGUGGCGGUCUCGCUGUAGCUUCCUCUGCGUAGUAGCACACCUCGCACUGGGAAACAGCGCGGCCACGCCGUUAAACCCCCAACUUCUGAACGUUUGACCUCGGAUCAGGUAGGAAUACCCGCUGAACUUAAGCAUAUCAAUAAGCGGAGGA
rnacentral:misc_RNA from 1 species